rnacentral:rRNA from 1 species
CACCCAACAGCUAGCCCUCCCUCCCAAAAAUAACAACAAAACAUAAAUACCCCCUAAGACCCAAACGACUUUUAAACAAACCA